AUUGAACGCUGGCGGCAGGCCUAACACAUGCAAGUCGAGCGGAUGAAGGGAGCUUGCUCCUGGAUUCAGCGGCGGACGGGUGAGUAAUGCCUAGGAAUCUGCCUGGUAGUGGGGGAUAACGUCCGGAAACGGGCGCUAAUACCGCAUACGUCCUGAGGGAGAAAGUGGGGGAGCUUCGGACCUCACGCUAUCAGAUGAGCCUAGGUCGGAUUAGCUAGUUGGUGGGGUAAAGGCCUACCAAGGCGACGAUCUGUAACUGGUCUGAGAGGAUGAUCAGUCACACUGGAACUGAGACACGGUCCCGACUCCUACGGGCGGCAGCAGUGGGGAAUAUUGGACAAUGGGCGAAAGCCUGAUCCAGCCAUGCCGCGUGUGUGAAGAAGGUCUUCGGAUUGUAAAGCACUUUAAGUUGGGAGGAAGGGCAGUAAGUUAAUACCUUGCUGUUUUGACGUUACCAACAGAAUAAGCACCGGCUAACUUCGUG
rnacentral:rRNA from 1 species